CGGCGCCGCACGGUCAGGCGCCCCGUGAAGGUUUCCACUCAGAAACCUCGUGUGGGAAAUUGUUUGGGCUUUUAGAUGAAAAAAACGUGUCCUAGAAAGUAAAUUAAUAGUUGCAUUCCUGACAAACUCUGAGCGCUCAGUGAGUGCUUCUAGAAUAAUUCCAGCCACACAUCUCAUGAAGGAUUUUCAGUGGCGAUUAGCGACCGCACCAAGAAGAAAAACAAGAUGCCUGUGCCCGGCGCUGUCCGCGCCUUUCCAUUUUCCACCCGCUGGAACCUUCUGGCAAGAAGGGGAGGAAGAUGACUCGAGCAAAGGAAGAGCGUUUGCACCACCGGCUGGACGACCAAAGCUGAACUCUCAGGAGGAAGAGAUUUGCCCCAUUGAGAUAAUCGGGCUCUUCUCAACCCCAGCAGACUCCCAGGGGACCCAGCUUCCACAAUCAACUGAAGACUGGAAAUGUCAGAUGAUCACUCAGGAAUUUGUCACAUGGCUAUAUUCCAUUGGCGGAAACCCAGGCGGUUACCAUCAUUCAUUAUGACACAUCCCUACUUGCUGCGCUGGUUGCUAGCAGAGUUCCUUGAGGGCUUAGGUAAUCAGGGCAGGGGCAGAAGGUUCCACUUCAGUCUGCGCCUGUGUGUUCUGAAUGGUCAGUUUCACCGCAGUCCUCAGGCCCUUCAAAUCACCAGCUGCCUUGUCGCUGUCAUCACCCACCUUUUUUGGAGACAGAUCCAGGGGGCCGAUCUUCUGGACCAGGACAGACUUCCCUACCGGUGCACCUUAGAAUGAUGCCCUUUUCUGACUCAACCCUAAGCAGACAGCCCCAGGCUACCUUGCAGGUGCAUAUGAGGAUUCUUCCCCAGCCCCUUGUGGUUGGGCAAGACCACAUGACUUGCUUCGGCCAAUGAGACGUGCACAGAAAUGACCCAUCACCUCCAGUUAGCUGCACUGAAGAGCUGGUGUGGGGGCUUCUCUUCUCUCUGCCCCUGCUGUGAGGAUUGUGGACACUUGUGUUGGGGUGGAGGUGCCCGGACAUGGAAGCUGCCUGACGUGCUAAGCCAGCACUUGGAGGACAGGAGCCGGAUGUGAUUGGUAUGGUGACCUGUGUUCUACCGAGUCCCUGCAUCUCUCAGUUGGCUUCUCAGGGUUCAAACAACAGCUCCUCCUUCUCAUUCUUUCAACCUCUCUGAUAACUGCUAGCGAGCCCUGAUGUCAUGCCUUUUCUGAGCCCUGCCCACAGCACUGUAAACUAUCCCUUUGUUCUCCUCUCUUCACUUACCCCUUUGUGCCAUCUGUUUUCUGUUGUAAUUCUGAUUGAUACAGUUUGCUAUCUUGCCCAAAUAGUCAAUGAGCCUAAAGACAGAAUAAAAUGAGUACACUGGGGACGCCUGGGUGGCUCAGUUGGUUGAGCGGCUGCCUUCGGCU